UAGAAUUGACGGGCCCGCACAAGCAGCGGAGCGUGUGGUUAAUUCGAUGCUACACGAAGAACCUUACCAGGGUUUGACAUACAAGUGGUAGAGAAGUGAAACGGGACGACCCUUCGGGGAGCUUGUACAGGUGCUGCAUGGCUGUCGUCAGCUCGUGUCGUGAGAUGUUCGGUUAAGUCCGCUAACGAGCGCAACCCUCGUCGUAUGUUAUAUGUGUCAUACGAGACUGCCGGUAAAAAGCCGGAGGAAGGUGAGGAUGAUGUCAAGUCAGCAUGACCUUUAUAUCCAGGGCUACACACACGCUACAAUGGUCUGUACAAUGGGUAGCCAAGCCGCGAGGCGGAGCCAAUCCUGAAAGCAGGCCUCAGUUCAGAUUGCAGUCUGCAACUCGACUGCAUGAAGCCGGAGUUGCUAGUAACCGCAGGUCAGCAAUACUGCGGUGAAUACGUUCCCGGGUCUU
rnacentral:rRNA from 1 species